rnacentral:rRNA from 1 species
UGGGGAAUUUUGGACAAUGGGCGAAAGCCUGAUCCAGCAAUGCCGCGUGUGUGAAGAAGGCCUUCGGGUUGUAAAGCACUUUUGUCCGGAAAGAAAUCCUUGGCUCUAAUACAGUCGGGGGAUGACGGUACCGGAAGAAUAAGCACCGGCUAACUACGUGCCAGCAGCCGCGGUAAUACGUAGGGUGCAAGCGUUAAUCGGAAUUACUGGGCGUAAAGCGUGCGCAGGCGGUUUGCUAAGACCGAUGUGAAAUCCCCGGGCUCAACCUGGGAACUGCAUUGGUGACUGGCAGGCUAGAGUAUGGCAGAGGGGGGUAAAUUCCACGUGUAGCAGUGAAAUGCGUAGAGAUGUGGAGGAAUACCGAUGGCGAAGGCAGCCCCCUGGGCCAAUACUGACGCUCAUGCACGAAAGCGUGGGGAGCAAACAGGAUUAGAUACCCUGGUAGUCCACGCCCUAAACGAUGUCAACUAGUUGUUGGGGGAUUCAUUUCCUUAGUAACGUAGCUAACGCGUGAAGUUGACCGCCUGGGGAGUACGGUCGCAAGAUUAAAACUCAAAGGAAUUGACGGGGUCAUAGCUGUUUCCU